GGCUAGAAAAAGAGAGAGAGAGAGACAGGUAAAGGAACAGGUGUAGCAGCAGAAUCGUUUCUUCAGGACACUGACAUAGAGCCGUCAUGCGCAUGCACAUGCAAUUCAGGCCAGUAAGAGUGGUCACGCUCGGCAGUGAUUCUAAGACUCUCCUUUCUGAGUCAUCCAGGUAACAGAGUUUUCAGUGGAAAUCGUGUAUUUUUUUUCGUUAUGCAAAUCUUUGUGAAAACCAAAGGGAUUUCCUCCAAUACUAACACAGAUAUAGAACAACUUAGAGGCCACUGUGAAACACACUGCACAGAUCUGUGACGGUUGAGUCCACUGGUUGUAGAGAGUUAACUGUACUUAGGUGUACCCACUCCAGGAUCUAAUAAGAUGUAUUAAGUCUCAACAUUGGUUUUCAGUCUUUCCCUGUCUCUGCCAGGGCGUUAUCAAUAACUUCUCAGUGCCUUCAGUGGUGGCUUUCCCCAAUCAUUUUUCAUUUUGCUUCGAAUGCAGACCAUCAAAAUUCAAGGCGCUUAGAGUGUUUUUUUGCAGCGGUUAUGAGCAGGCUUGAUGGAUGUGAGCUUCUUGCUAAGCUGUGUGAAUGAGAACUCCUGUUUGGAGCCACCCACGUGAUUCAGUGUUAUUGGGCUUGGGAAGCUCAAUGUUACCAAGUCACAUUAUUUAUUCCUUGAAAUACGUGUAUGUCACAAAUAUGUUAAUGAGCUUCCUCUGUGUGUGCUCUAUAUACAGCUACCCUGGGGAUGGGUUUUUAGAACUCUCUAAUUCAACACAUAACCUAAAUGGAAAUAUUUUUGACCAAUAUUUCCAGCUGAAUUUUUUUUCAGAAGACCCUUUAUAGAAUUGUAGUCAUUUUUCUGACCUAGAAGCACUAAGCUGGUCAGAUUGGAUACCCAUUUUCUGGGACAAUGUAUGACCAUUGGAAAAGUUGAACAAAACAAUCAUGGAGUGUCUCAAAGCCAUACCCUGUUUCCUGGUGGUUAGAGUUGAUAAUAUCAUUGUGAAGGCCUAAGUUUGUUUCUCAGUUAAGUAACCCAAACAAAAAUCACAAGCUACAUGAUAAAAUUCAAAGCCAAGAGAAAAAUUGAAGCAGAAAGCUAUUGCUGAUUUAAUGGUAAGACUACUGACCACUCUAACAUGAAGUCACAGAGAGUCCUAUACCUGAAAGCUAAGAAACAACAGUGGGUUCCAAUUGAAUGUCCUAUACUAGUUUUACUAUUUAGCAGUGACUAGAUCUGUGCACUGUUCACUAAGCGCUACUAUGUGAGACGCAUUGUGCCAGGUGGCUUUAAGAAGCCUAGAGGCUAUGCUUGAGUGGCAGGAAGUGGUUUUUACUAUGGCACUACAUUUUCAAUAUGGGACAAUGGGAUGAAAUUCUAGAAUUCAUCGCCUGGGAGUCCACCCCAACAAGCUUGGAAAAAAAAAAAAAGGGAUGCUGUGGUUACAGUAAGGGCAACGGUGAUUUCAAGAACUACAUAGCAACACUUGCUUGCAAAUGGUAGGGAAAUGCAGAGCUCUGCUGCCUGAAAGGGACUGGAAAUGUAAAGGAAUUGAGUGAGUGCCAGAGGGAAAGUUCAGUGGUGUGAAUGGAGAAGGGAACAGAAACUGAAUACUUGGAUGGACGAGCAGAUUCUCAUUGAUCUCUUCAACCAUGAGCCAGGGUGGCUGCACAGCUUGGCACUUGAUGGGGACAGGGUGAAGAUUUGGAGAUCAUGACUGACUGCGUGCGUGAGUCUAACAGACGGGAGUAUGCCUCUGAAGGAAAUGGCAAGGCAACGACAGGCCAGAAGCUCACACCCUCCUCUGAAUGUUCAUGCUAGACAGCAAUUGCAGGAUGCAGUGUUUUAGGUGCAGGUAAUCCACUUAUAUUUAGAUUAUUUUGGCAAUUUUUAAAGUAAGUAUUGUAUAUUUAUAUGGAGUUGGGCUCAACUCAGGAAAAUGUUGUGAUGCUCAGGACUUUGUUCAAAUGGAAGAUACUUUAUUAUUUUAUUGUAGACAGUAAUACAGGCACUUGCUCUGUGGCACAGAGUUUGCCUUUUGUGGCUUGAGGAACGUCAUCAAGCUCAUUGUCCAAGAGCUGUUUGUAGUAGGUGUAUGAGCGUACACAAAAUUGGGUCUAAAGAUUGGAUCACUCGGGGCUGGAGAGAUGGCUCAGCGGUUAAGAGCACCCGACUGCUCUUCCAGAGGUCAUGAGUUCAAUUCCCAGCAACCACAUGGUGGCUCACAACCAUCUGUAAAGAGAUCCGAUGCCCUCUUCUGGUGUGUCUGAAGACAGCUGCAGUGUGCUUAUAUAUAAUAAAUGAAUAAAUUUAAAAAAAAAAAAAAAGAUUGGAUCACUCACUAAAUACGAGAAGUGACAUACAGUCCCCCGUAAAAAUAAGCCCUUUUAUAAUAUAUAUGUAUAUAUACAUACGUAAAUGCAUAUAUACAUAUAUACAUACAUACACACACUAAUAUACAUGGAAAACGUGAAUCAGGUUGUUGGACUUGAAAUGAGCACAUGAGGAGAAAACUCUUCACAAUCUUUAUUUGAUGACAUUAACUUGUACUAAUUGAAUACUUAGUCUCUGGAGUAAAUAGAAAUAAAAUGAACUGUGCUAAUGUUUAUGUAGCUUGCUCAGUAGAUCUGAUGUAGCUUUCCCUCACAGCUAUGAUGCUGAUAUCCCUCUCACACUAACUCUGUCUCAGUUGAAGAUGUUGGAAAGGCAUUUUACAACAGCAGUGACCCGAAUUCUUUCAGUAGACCGAAAAUAAAAAUGUAUUUAUAUUGGUUUGUAAAAUACACGGUUUGGGGGCCAGCGUCCAAAGUAAGUUUUGAUUAAGCAUUGCAGGUCAACUCAUUUUGCAUUUUUUCUUCCCUGGUGUGCGUUACAGGGCAGGAUGUUAACAGGGAUAUGGACAUAAAGAUUGCUACUUUCUGGAAGGCUUUCUUGUUAGGACAGAGUCAGGCGAGCCGUGACAACAGCAGGUAAAUGCUCACAUAAGGUCUGCUAGGAGAGUGGCAGGGACACCUGGAGUCCUAGCCUAGAGUUGGUGUGUGCGCACGCGUGCGCAUGAGACAGAGAGAGGGGGUUGGGGGUGGGGCGUGAUUCUAGAACACGGGAAGUUGGGAAGUUGCAGAUCUGACACUCCAGGAAUAGGAAUGGAUGCCUACAAAGAAAGCAAGCCGGGACAAGUGCUGCUAUUUAGAAAAUGAAGUGUCACCCACCCUUUGUCACAAGCAACCAGUGACUUGUUUUGACCUGAUCAAAUGAGGAAACGACCUAGAGAACCUUUAGUUGUAUGAAACUGUGGUGUUUACAAGACUAGAUGUGAUAUUUUAUUUUCUACAGUGGCCUCUGAACUACAUCACUAGCAACAGGUAAGGCGAGGAAAAGAAGGGGCUGAAGAAGGCGGAGAGAAGUAGACUUAAGAACAGAGCCUGAGAAAACAGGGCUAGGGCAUUUUGCAGCAUAUCGCCACUGAAUUAAGUUAGGUGGCAUGGCAUUCCUUACAGUAAAUUUAUCCCCCCCAUCCUCCUCUUUCUCCUAUUCCUUAGAAUCUUCUCCUCCCCCCUUUGGGACUUUGUACUGUAGAGCCCACUCCCAUUAAUAGUAGGGACUAAAAAUCUUCCUUCUGACUCUGUCUCCUCUUCCCUUCUCUUCCGGGCCCUCAUCUCCCUCCCACCUCAGGCUCCAGGAGAGGGAGGACCUGACUUUAACAUCCAAAGGAAGGAAGUGAGGUUCUGAAGGAGGUGCCCAGAAGCAGCUAUCCCAAGUGGAGGUUUCUACUUCCAGGGUAUGCAAUCCCCUGUCUCUGAAGUCAUGGAAAAGAAAGGGCAGGAGCAAGGAAGGAAAAGACAGCAGUCUGCACCUUCACUCACUUCCGCUUUAAGAAAGAUGAGAGAGAGAGAGCUUCUUGCCUUCCAGGCAUUGGUAUAGGACAAGGAAGGGGGUACUUUCAGAGAGAGUAACUGUGUAACUGGUUCAGAGAGGGUAGCUGUGAGCAGGCAAAUUCUUUUUGAAAAAUUGCUUUACCGUUACAAAAUAAAUGCACAGAGUCUGAAGAUUUAGAAAGGACAAGGCUGUAGCAAUAUUUCCCUCCUGCCAAACGACACCUGCUGAGUCAAAGGCCAGUUUUAAGUGCACCACACAGUACUUUUUUGCCCUUUCAAUGGCAAAAAUUGGAGACAAAGAAUUGCAGUGUACUGUUGGCUUACACAACAGUAUUCUCAAAAACAUCCAGCAGGGGGAGCUCUAAUAUACCUUUGAAGCUCAACAUUUAAAAAAACCAAAACAAAAGAAAAAAACAAAACAAAACAAAACAGAGGGGCAUUGUUUUUGAGCUGCCAUGCCAGUGAACAAAUACGUGAGGAGGAAGACCAGUUACAUGCUCAGAGGCCAAGCGACAGCACUUGGGGGAGGAGGGACACGUGCAGUGUCCCACAGUGUCUCCUUGCCAUGAGCCUGUAGCUGUGAAGCAGUUAAACAGGCAGGGCUGGGGCUCUCGCAAGAGAAGGGAGCGAAGCUGACUUCUGGGCAAGCCUAGAAGUUAUUCUUUCCUUCUGAAAGGAUCUUAUUGUUUCUAGAGCAGCCUUGAACACUGGCUCAGAAACCACAUUUUAAAACAGAAUUUUCAUUGUUGGUUGAAGGAGCUACCGAAAUGCCAAAUGGCUAAGUCCCUUACUCAGUGGCUUGUUGGGUGGUUUUCUCUUCUCCUUCAAGUCAGAAAAAUGCUGUGUUUGUAAAAAUUGGUGCUAAAAGGGCAAGAAAUCAUAGGUCCUCUGGGCCAUGUAAAGAAGGAAUUAGAGCUUUCAAACACACAAGCUCGCGCGUGCACGUGUACGCACGCACGCACGCACGCACGCACGCACGCACGCACGCACGCACAAUGAACAAUUUACUCAAGAAAACAGUGAGGAGUUUAUAGACUGAGAGCUACCCUGUAUUCUGGGCAGUGUUUGGAGGUGGGUGAGCGGACGUUCAACAUGAUAGAACAACUUCACCUGAAGGAAAGCACCCAGUGACCCGACCCCUUCUAUUCUCUUGCCAAUAUGAAGGCAAAGUUUUUGUUUUACACCUUGAUGGUAUGCCCACAUCUAAAAGUUUUAUACAAGCUCCUGCACAAACUUUAACUAGACCAGUUCAGACCAAGAGGCACUAAAUAGAGCCAGUCUAGACAGAAAAUGUAUGGAAACCAUAUGUCCUUUGGGCGUCUGUCUUACAAAGACUGCCAUUGCCCUGGAGAAAUCCUUCACAAAAUAUGCUCUUAGGAAAAAAAGAGAGCACACAGGGAGAAGAGUGCUUAAGAUGACGGCUGGGCUCGGAGAAAAUAGGGGCGAAGUGUUUAUAAAUGCGAGGCUCUGGUUUCCCUGCACAUCUGUAAGUAAACGGUUUGAAAGGAUGGGCCAAGGUAGAUAACAUUUAUAUUCCCAUUGUUCUUUCAGGCCUCCACAGAACGUUAGGCAGAGGGAUCUCCAAGCCACUCUGCUCUCACCCGCAGAGAGCUGUUUUGAGUAAGGCUGUACGUGGAGGAGGCCAGAGAACUAGAACAUUCUCUUCUGAUUAUUACCUCAUCCUGCUGGCCUGCCAAACACAGCUAGAAGGCAGGUGUCCACCAUAAGUAACUAGCGAAAGGCUGCUCUAGAGAAUGGUGUGUGGGACUAGAGAGAGAAAGGGAGGGGGGCUCCAAGGGGGUUGCAGUAAAAGGGGUGCUCCUAAGCCCCCGUUUUUUCCAAUUUAACCUUGCCUUCUGAACAAGAGACACGACUAUUCUGUCUUCCCUAGUCUCAUCAUUACACUUGAAGAUAUGCUUUAAUUUUAACCAAUAGUAUUAUAGAUUCUGCAGAGGGAAAAAGUAAAAUAUGCAAAUUACCAUGACCCCCUCCCCCAGCAUAUUAAAUGAAAACUGCCAAGGGCCAGGGAGAGCAUGAAGCAUGUGGACACUGCCGAGGUUCCUUGUGGCUCUUGACACUUUUACUGAAAUUCCCCACUCUGCAGGGAAGGGGACUAGGAAACAGAACAGUAGGAUUGAUAAGUAGUACCAGCAGGAGUGCCUCCAGGUACUGUCCCCUCACCUAGAAGACUGAAUUAACAGUAUGUGCCAGAUAGACUCACAGAGAAAGGGUCUUGAGUGAAAAGAGCAAAAGCAGUAAGAUUGUGCUUUUAAGAAAACUCGAGAACCCUCAAUAUGCUUGUUCAAAGACAGUCACGUUUUAAAGGUUAAAGAUUCUUAUACUGGCUUUCAAGUAUUAAAUAGUAAGAUGUGGAUAGGGUCAUUUAGAGUUUUGGAAGUAUUAAGGCAGCUUAAUUAUACUGCAGGGCAGAACGCUAACCACUGCACGUCCCUGGACAAACAGUCAUAUCAACAUCUACUCACUAUGGAUGCCUGAACUGAACCGAGAGCGUUUGGCUGGGUUAGUUGAAGUCUCCUGGUGAAGUUACGGGGUUUUUCCUCCAGUGCUCCUGUUUAUUGGUGGUUCUGAACCUUUCAGCUGGUUUUCAUGCUAAUGGCUUGUGGUGCUUGGGUUUUAUUUUGGUGUCAGGCUUGGAUAUGUGGGGGGAAAGUCCUGCCAUGGUUUGUCUAGUGAACACACCCACUAAUAUCGCCUCAGUUUUUCACCUCAAAGCCAAUAAUUAAGAUAUUGUAGAACUUGUCUGACAUGAGGGUUUAUCAUUUUAGUUAUUAAAGUAGUUUCCAACACUAUAGGGAGUGUUUUUAAAAAACCAGUGGAUGUUUGGCUUAGAUCUUUUUACAGCCUUUCCUCGUGGAUGCAACCGUAGUGGCAGAGAGUAGGCACAUCUUGCGGCGUAGGACCUGGGGCAUGAGGCGUAAAGGAAGGUUUAUCUGAAGGAAAUUCAUUCAGUCCUAAAAUUAUCUCCAGGACCACACUGUGAACCUGAAAGGAUACACAUGGUCCAGAAUUUGUCUUGUGUAAGUAUUCUUUGUCGAGCAAGCCACCCGCAGGAUUAUAAAAUGCCCUGUAAGUGUUCCCCCUGGACAAUAUAGUAUACAUCUGUAACUGAACGGUUGGGGAGGUUAGGAACUCAAGGCCGGACGUGGCUAUAAAGUAAGUUCAGGGACACAGUAGACUGUGCAAGACUUUGAUUCAAAAACAACCAAACAAAAUAGCCAAAUAAUCCAGAUAAGGGCCUGCGAAUUAAUGUGAGACUGAAGUUUGCAGAUGAAAGAGAUGUUUCCAUGGUGUUGCUUCAGAAUCUCUAAAACCAAAUUUGAAUGAGUACACGACGGAGGCAGGAGGGAUAUUUGGUUGCAGACGAAUGUCAUUUUCCCACUUAUACUAAAAGCCAUCUGAGGCUUUCUCACACUGUGCACCUUUUUGGGGGUGGAGAUGAAUCAGGAUCACACUGUACCUCAUGAUGGCCUGAACUCAACUUUGUAGCCAAGCCUGGCCUUGAAUUCGUGAUCCUUCUGCCUCUACCCCCCAAGUUUAUGGGGCUGGAGGUCCACCUUCAUGUUAGCUCAUCGAGGUUUUCAGGCUUCCCCUGAAGCUUUGGAUAGGUUUGCAGUAGAGUAUCUAGGCUCUUCGCUUUCCCCUCUCUCGGUUACUGUGUUAGCCUUCCCAUCGAAGCAUCCGGAAAGGGUGCUGCCUAGGGGUGACUCACACGUUGACCUGUGUGUUUAUGGGGUUCCCAUAAGAGCAGUGAGAAGAGUAAUUAUACCUUGUCUCAUUUUCUGGUGCUUAGAUCAUUCCCUGUGUGGGCCAUUUCCUCUCUCUGAGCAAUGGAAACCAGGAGGCCCCACUACCACCGAUGCUGAGACGGAGAAUCUGGCUAAUUGCCAUUUUGAUUACCGCUCCCCCUACCUUCUCCCCCCCACCCCCCUCGAAUGGAACAGGUUCAUGUGGUUCAUGCGAACUGAUUAUUUUGACUGAAAAACAAAGAGUGGAUAUUUCUCAGUGCUUGUUGGGCAAUGCUUAAAAAUAAGGAACUAGAGCACUCCGCAUUCAGUGUUCGUGGUUUUGCCUGUCGUGGCUCCGAUACUUAAAGAGCAGUCAGUCGCAAAGAAUGAGCCCGUGGCUCAGGGAGAGUUCCUGAAUACCUCAUGGCUUUCGACAUUGCCCUAGGCUGGAGUUCUGUUUUGGGCUAGAGUUGCCAUGUGAUCUAAACAUGUAAAUGCUCAAGUAAUGUGGCAUCCAUAAACAUGGAGUGUCUCUCAGACCCGGAGCCUUUCCAGAAAACCCCACUCUGGCACUGACAACUCGAGCUUGACCAGAAGUGUAAUAUCCUUGGCAACAGAGUCAGCGAACCAGAUGGGGUCCAUUUGGCAACUAAAGGGUGUAAAUACGUGUUUAGAUUCAGAGGUUUCCUCGGACAAUGCUUCCAAUAUGUUGGCAUGGGUAAGCUAAGGAAUUUUAACGCCGGGCGGGCACUUAAAAAUUCUCUGUUUAAGCAGCAAUAAAUGUAUGGCAAGCAGGCAGAGCCAUCAAGCCCUCAGCUAACUCCCGAUCGCCUUUCUUCUGCUCCGCAGUUAGGUGUCCCGGGCACAUUCACAGAACAAGAUACUGCCCUGACAACUUUGUUUUAAACUUCCUGUCUGUCUUGUAAGGUUUUUCCAAGUCUCACGUUUAAUCUUUCAUAGUAGCUGGUGAGUUGGAGGAAAGGAAAAGGGUGGGGGGAGGGCUUCCCGCUGCCUAUUCUUAGAGUUUGCUGCUUGGAUAAAAGUUAGACAUGAAAGAGGUGCAAUUCGCACACCGUGAGUCUCUGAGGCCUUUGAAAAAUACGCUGUCGAACCAGGAAUGCCUGAGUUUUUUGAAAACCGCGCUUUCCUUCCAGCGAGGGGAAUUGAAAGAGCUUGGUGGUGAAACUCGAGCCCUCGCUGGCUCAUGUGCGUCCCUAAGUCUGGAUGUCUAUUUACACAUGGUAGAGUAUUUCCCCCCUUUCUCGGAGCUGACACCAACUUGUAUAUAGGAACAUUUGGUGGAUUACAGCUGGUGACAGUUUGCUGCUGACUGGCCACAGGAAAAUUAAUCAGCAUCAGCUAUGCCUUUUCCCUGGCCGGUGCCUCUUUUGCCAGACUCCGGUCUUGGCUGUCUUCCUCUAUCAACCAGGUGAACCCUAGGGCAGAACUGGGCACCCCGAGAUGCAAAGGGGCUUGUCCUGCAGUGAUGGAGCUUAGCCAUGAAAGAGCUCCAAAGGGAACAAUGUCUGAGCUAUUCGUUCCUGACACAGACAGGGAAGCAAGCAGUGGUGUUUGCUUAGCUGAAGGCCUGUCACCCUCUGCUUGGCUAACUGUAGCCUUCGGUAGGAGGAGCUGUCUCCUGCCUGCAUUUAUGGUAUUUACAUUUUGCAUGACGUGAAUCUUUUCUAAUUUCCCUUUUCGUUUUUACUUUCCUGUAACAUAGGAUAUGUGGGAAAGAUUCAGACACAAUGAGGAGAGAGAGGCAGAUGCGGGUCUAUCUACACACUGCCACAGAGUUCACACAUUUCGACCUUGGAGACGCUGGUGCUGUAUGAGGGCCUCGCCUAAGCAGACCGUCAGGCAUCUAGGCUGUGGCUAGAUGGAAAUGUCUGUGUAAAAUCCACUCUACUUUGCUAGACCCAAGGAGGAAACCACCAAAAUAAUUUGACUUUCACUUAAACCAUAUUGAAAACAGGAUCUGAAGAGUGAAAGAAACCUUGGACAUUAACCAUUGCUUUUCAUUGUCAUAAGAAUUGAAACAGUGUACUGGAAUAGGAACCGUCCUGGAAAUAGAGCGGGCUUUUGGAGGUAUAUUUAAUAGAGAGCCUUAGAUUAAAGCGGACGCUUUUUUUAGAGAGCAGUGGUUGAAAUUUUAGUUUCAUUAAAAUACUGUGAACUCCUCGUGACAACUCGCGUUGAACCUGCAGCAAAUCAUUAAUUACAUCUGGAGGUUUCGGCACCAGUUCCUUUUUAAUAACACGGUUGCCUCAUGAGGUGCCUGGAAUCUAAGAAUUUGUGAGAACAACUUAAAGUUGUUCUGUUUUUAGCAAUUAUAUUUAAGCCAUAAUAUAGUUUUGUUUUUUUUUAACUUUUAAAAUCUAGUUGCUAAAAAAAUAAAAACAGUUCCCUGAUCAUCCAGAAUGUCUGAGUAUGGUUUUUAUUUUUUCUUUAAGGAGGGCUGGCUAGUCAGGAGAAACAGAGUGCUCGCAGCAGCUGACAUCACAAAUCACAAGGUGAUUUCACCGUUUGUCCCAGUGACACUCGGCUGCUAAAGACACCACAGUUUGAGAGGGCUGUCAGGAGAGGAGAGGGUAAGUCAGGAUGUUUCCGUGGGUGACCGCAGGGAGUGACACCCAGGCUAGUCACACGGGCUGCUCAGUUUCCAUGAACUCUGAGCCCAGCGACUUCAAGGCUCAACAGCUUCCUCCUUCACAGCACCAAACCUUGAUGUGAGGAAUGCAAAGAUAGAAGAGUGAUGGGUUUGUGGUUUGUCCUGGCUUGAAAUUUAGGGAACUGCAUAACAAGGACAACAGAAACCUCAAAUAAAACCAGCAGAAGUCGUACCCAAAAUAGAAAGGAUGCUGUACCAAUGGUAACUUAUGACAAUGAGACCUAUGAAAGAGUUGGGGAUACGAUCAGGCAGUGCGAAGCCAUUGAGAUCAGAGACCAAACAUUUAAAACUAAAUUAUGACGAAAGUCAUUUGGCCUUAACUUUUGUAAUAUGGGGGCAUCAGUUGUUUUGGAAAGGGGGCAUGUACGUCUUCCUGCACAGCUGUGUGCUCUGGUAAGUCAAAGAAACCAUGGAAAACACCAUUGAGGAACUGGGCAAAGUCUUGAUGCACACACCGUGAAGGCUUUGUCUUCCUUACAGGGCUCACAAGAACAUCGCUUGAUGGACCAGUUCUUGAUUUCAGUCAUCUAGGUGAGCUAAAGCAAAAGCCAAAUGGAGUGAACCAGGCCUGGCCAUCUUAGAAACUGUCAGAGAUGGCGAAUAAGAAUGGGUUGGAGAAAGUUCUUCUCUACUCUUUUAAAAGUGGGAUAUUGAGUGGUGAGGUAGAUGAAGUUUGCUCUCCCUUGGCUAGGGCUAGAGACCCUUCCUCCCACCCUUAUCCUUUUUGAUCCUUGCAAAAGAGCUUUGUCCUAGGGAAGGGGCGGGUGUGGGUGUGGGUGGGUGGGCAAGGACAAACGAGCAAAAUAGUGCCAGAGUUAGCUAGUGCCAGGAAAAACACACUUGGAUUCAGCUAGUUUGUUCUGUUAAUGUCAAAGACUACACUUUCCAAUUAUCUAAUUUCAAGAAGUGGUAACUGAAAAUGGCUAUGCUAACUCUGAAGUUGGUGUUUGAUGAAGAUUGGGAGCUGCAAUUAAGAGAACCAGGCGCUGUCUGCUUGAGGCCAUCCUUCUAAAAACAGACCCAAGGCUGGUGUGGACUUUCAAACAGGGUUUUUUGUUUGUUUUUGUUUUUUUCUUGUCAGAGAACUUGAAUGGAGGCAAGAGAUAUAGGAUAGUCCAGUCAGUCAAGCCAUGGGGGAAAAAUGUCCUAAAGAUCACAGAUUUGUGUACACCCCACUUCCUAAUGACAGGAGUAUCCGUGCUAGUGAGUGUCUCUAGGAUGCUCCUUAGUUCGGGUGGAAGUAAUUAAAACUGACACGCAAUGUUUCCUGCUCUUGCACCAAAAGGCUGAGUCAAAAAUCAGUCCAACACCCUGCCCUACCUCUUCCUGUAUAUUUGAAAUGGAAAGAUAUGGUAAAUAUUCUGGUUAAAAAAGAUGGAAUAUUCAAGAUUCCUGGGCCGUGCACCAAGGGCUUUGACGACCUUGGAAUACGUUGAAAAGAAAAGUUGUGAUCACUGGUCGCUCAGACUAUGGGGAGGAAAACUGGCCAGGCGCACACUAGGGUGGCGUAAAAUCUUUUGCCCCUAGAAGUUCUGCUAUUGCCUUUGUGAAAUGAAAGGCCAGCAGGGGACCAGAGGGACACCCCUUGUGCUGGGAUGUCAUGGGAGUUUCUCUAGAUUCAGGUUGAAAAGGGAGGAAGGUCCCUUAACAAAGCAAAGAACUUUGGGGAGAAACAAAUUAGAGUUUUCUCCGUGGGAAGCCAAACACUUUUCUGGGAGGUGAUGGAUAGGGCAUCUUAAUUAUUUAGUUUUUUUUUUUUUAUAGAGAAAAUGGAAGAAAAAGGACAUAUAAACAAGUGGAACAAGGUGUUGUUUCUAUAAGAGCUUUCUUCAUUUUCUCUUUUCCUCCUUCCUCUCUCUCUGAAAUCUUAAACCCCAUUUCUGGCUUGCAUUUGGUAGGAUUCCUGCUCUGGCUUUUAUUAAAAACAGACGUUGUGAGUUCAGAAUCUUCCAUCUAAAGCGAGGCUUUAAUAGGCGUCAGGACCCUGACUGGCCUCCAGCUCUGCUCAGGUGACCCCCCCCCAACCCCCCCCCCCCACAGGGAUUCCCUCCCAGCCUGCUCCACUGGCCCUCAAUCUUGAGGGCUCAGCACAAAACAACCAGCUUUCUCUCUUUCAAUUCAAACUCUUCAUUUCUGUUUUAGAUUCAGGGCGGUACACAAACCUGAUCAAGUUAAGUCUGGUUUUAACUCGGGAGCGUUCUAGAGAUUUUGAACAGCUCAACUGAGGUCCUACAGAGUCCCCAACAAGGGCUCCCCCUUCCUGCUUCCAUGUCCUUGCCCUGGCAAUGCACAUGGGUUACUCACUGACUCCCACCCUUCUGCCUGCGUGCAAGCUCAAAAAUACCAAAGCUAACUCCACCCUGCUUAGCAAAUCAGUUUAGCAUCCGAAAGCUGAUUUUUCUGAAGAGCGCUGGCAAGCUAGCUUAUUGGAGACCGACAGGAAAAGCAGUGAAGCGAGCAGGCAAGACUUGCACCCUCAUUCCUUAGCACAGCACAGCACAGCCACAGGUCCCUCUGGCUCCUUCUCAGAGCAAAACAGGCAAAACAACAGAGUUCAAGGCUCCCCUGGGACUUUGCCUUCCCACUCUCACAUCUCACCCCCCCCCCCAACCCCCUUUUUCCCUCACACCGCCAUACUCUCCUGGCAUAGCAGCAGACACUGUCCCAGUCAAUUUGAGGUUUUCUAAAACAAUAAACUUCAUCUUGCCCGUAGAACAUUCAAUGUUGAAGUGUACGUUUUUGAUGUGGAAAGGAAAUUCUUACGAAUACUGCAGUAUUCAUUGCCCGGUAGAGUAUGGCUUUACUUUCCUACGGGACGGCUGCCACGCCUCUAUCUUCGAUGAUCACCGAGGGAGGAGAUAACUGACAGCUAGUGACUGGAGGCCAGGGAUGCUGCUAAUCAUUCUCAAGUGCACAGGAGGGCCAGCCAUAGCAGGAAUGUCAGACACUGAGGGUCCCUACUGUGGUGGCCAAACCUGGGCUCUGGAGUGGGGCUGCUGGGGAUUAGAGCCCAGUGGGCUGGCAUUGAGCAGGCUGCUAACCUCAUUGUCUAUCUAUAAAAUGUAAAUAGCAGCCUAUUUAAUUGGACUCACAAACCUUAAAAAUGUGCGUGUGAGGCUUUUAGGACAAUAUUUAACAUUGAGAGCAACAUAAACGUUAUUAGAAAUUUGGCUCAGUUUCUGCCAAAUUGAGUUUAGAAAGAGAAAAAAGCAGGACUGAGCAUUUACGUGUUCUUUGAGUAGGACUAAAAUGGCAGCGAAGAGUACCGCUCCAUCUCGAGACCUGGAUGCUCACACUGCACGUGAUUUCUUUUGUUUCCUAGGCGAGGAACUUCUAUCUUGGGGGGGCGUGAGUCACCUUGCUCUUACAGCUUGGAAGUCAAGUUGUUCUGUACACUUUGUCUACCAGCCCGGGGCGCUCCUUCCUCCGUCCAUUACCCCUCACACUUUGAAGCUCAAAAUGCAAGCCCCACAGUCCUACAGGUCCUGUGGAGGGUGAGCAGCACCACGUGUGAUGAAUGGAGUCAGGGUUUGCUCAGUGGGGCACAUGGACAGUCCAAUUCUGUGAAUUAAAGGUUAUCUUCAUGUAUGGGAUAAUUUUCCUUGUCUUUAAAUUUUCUGGUUUUGUGGGGGGUAAAACUCCACAAUACCUUAUAUCCUUUAAAAAGGUAAAAAAAAAAAAAACAAAAAAACCCUGUAGGUUGACUACAUGAACAAAGGAAAGCAUAUAUAGCUUUGCCUUAGUAUGUUUAUAUUGUGUGACAAUUAGACCAGAAAAUCUGCUUAUAAUUGUCAGAAUUAGUCAGUGGAGGAGCAGUCUAUCUGAUAUAUAAUCCUUACGUCUACAUUAUAAUCUCAAUUAUAAUUGUGGAUUAGUUGGCUAGAGGUUACUUGGUUUACAUUAAAGUUAUGAUACUGGGGUCAUACCGCAGAUGGAUAAAGUUCUUCCAGUCAACGGUUUUCUGUGUUCUUUGGGUACUGGGGGAGGCAAGACUCAUGCAUCCCUCAUGACUUACACACAGCUUACAUGACCCCAGUGGCAGCUCUUUGUUACCAGCCUGUUGGUAGAGUCUGUCCCCGGGCUCUGAAAGUGCCAUUCACUCGCCCCCAUUGGCUUUAGCGGCUUUAGUGCCAGUUGGUAAAGGAGAGGACCCAAUGAGUAAGACACAAGGGUGUCCUAAUGAGCCCAGGCACCAGGAUUUGUCCUGUGCCCAUUCUUUCCCCUGCCCGUGUGGAAACUGCAAACAUGUUUGGGAAGAUGGUUGCAGUUUUUUAUUUUGUUGCUUUGUUUUGAUUUUUUUUUUCAAAUAAAUAUUGUCGGUUAUGCUCUGAGAAGAGAACCCAGGAGGAUCUUGGGGUAACUUCUGUAGCAUUGCUUGCUUACCUUGGAACACUGGGGGGUGCCCUUGUGGGCCUGGAUGGAACCUGUGGAGGGGCUCCGUAGGAGUCACUGCUGUUGGGAAAAGGAGGUAAUGGGCCUGGACGGAAUGGGACUGGGGGAGCCCCAGAGUGGGGGCCUGGAGAGGGAAUGGCAGGAGCUGGUCCACGGCUAGAUGCGGGCCUCGGGAGGGGAGCACUUAGAGUCAGCCUUCUUUGGGUGGUGGGGCUUGGAGGAGGUGACCUGAGAAAAAAGACAAAGUUUUAAUUAUUCCACGCUUCCUUCUUGUCUCGAUUAGUCUUUAAAAAACAAAAACACCCCCCCCCCAAAAAAAACCAGUUUUGUAACUUCCAAGUUGCUUUUUAAAAAUUAAUUACUUUUUUGGCUAUAUAACGUAGAUACAUGUUAUAAAAAAAAUAAAUGCUGAUAUUUCAGUUUCCUUCCCUCAUUCCACCUUCUGGAGACAAUAACAUUUGGUGGUAUUUCUUCUUAAACAUAAGGUAUGUGAAUAUUUUUGCAUGCAUGCAUGUAUGUAUGUAUGAUAGAUAACGACCAUCUUCCUUGCUUUAAGCUUAUCUUGCCAUUUGGGACAUCUGGCACUGUUUUACUCCUUUAAUGACUAUCGAGUUUCAUUCUAAGGAUGCAUUUAGCUUGUUGAUGAGAAGAGUUCAUGCAUUUGAGCCCCCUUUCCCUUUGGGUCUGCAUUGUCUUGGGAAAGCAUCCUUAGAAACGGAGAGUGGACAAGCUCAGGUACUGCUGGGCCUCUUCCCUAACCUUCUGGAAUGCUGGAGCCAGGAGUCAUCUACUGGAGGUGGGGCUGGGGUGGACACAGUGACCGUGUUGAUGUCGCCAAUGAUCGCGAGGGCUUCUUUCAGGGCUUGGUACAUCCGGAGCAUCUCAUCCCGGCGCUGAGCCUGCUCCACGGAUUCUUCCAUUAGUGUGUUCUGGUCCUCAGAGGAGUAGAGCUGUGCUAGGAGUUCAGAGUUGAUGAAGUCUUUAACCUGUGAGAAAAACCAGGUGAGAGGGCAACACACAGGCUCCGUGGCAAUCGCUCACAAGGUCUUCCCGGAGAAAAGGGAAAUACCAUACGACUGUUUGGUUUUUGCCACCUUUCUGGUACAGAGGACAGCUUUCUCCCUCUGCCUUCUGUCUUUCAAAGAAAUGAUCGUAAAGCUAACAAAAAAAACGUUCAGACUUUGCUACCCCUAGCAUAUGGCUCAGCAGCUAUGCGGAUGCCUCAUGAAGUUCUUGGAGGUCACUUGGUUUAUAUGACAGGAAGGUCCCAUGAGGUAAUUUUUUGACAGUAUGUUGAAUACAAGGUGGUGAUGCAAAGGAAGCUUUGUAUAAGUUUUCUGUUUAUUAGCAUUCCUAGUCCUUUAGCUAAAUAGUUACCAAAAUAAUCAAACAUUACCCAUUCAAAGUUUUAAAGGUACGGUAAAGACAGAAUUAGUAAGUAUAAGUGGAUAUAAGAUAUUGAUCACAACUAUAUAGGUAUAAAACUAUGCAAGUUGAUUUCAAGCAACAUAAAAGAGACUGUUCUUAGUUGAACAGUAUCUCGUAGCAGGAUGGGAACAGAGGAUGCACAACACAGAACGGGCAAGGACUGACCAGUCUCCAUGCUUUAUCAGAUCUAAACAGUAGCCAGGUGCUUUAUAUAACUACAGAGAAAGUCUCAGUUAAUGUACAAUAAAAUACCCAGAUAUCGGGGUUGGGGAUUUAGCUCAGUGGUAGAGCGCUUGCCUAGCAAACGCAAGGCCCUGAGUUCGGUCCCCAGCUCCGAAAAAAAGGAAAAAAAAAAAAAAAAAAGAAAAAAGAAAAGAAAAAAAAAUCCAGAUAUCAUUAAGUAUAAGUACAUGUUCAUUUAUGUGUGAGAAAGUGAAUGUACAAAGCAGUGAAAUAUAUAUCUUCAUAUAUAUGGAUAUAUAUAUAUAUCCCAGUUUUCUUCAAAAGUUAUCUGAUUCAUCACAUAGUGGUGAGGUAAAAUUAAAACCUCACAAUGCAGAAACAAAUUUAGAGAUCGCACAGCUGUGACGUCAACCCAAAAAUCUUCUAACCAGUGCUGAUUCAAUUUGCUGAAAGCAUGUCACGCCAUGUAAAUGGCUAGAAAACGCAAUUCACAUUCCUUCAUCAUUCCUUCUUUGCCCUCUUAGCGUUGUGCUGCUAGUCCAGGGCCCUCGGCAUACGUGUGCACCACCAUCGAGCUAAGCCACUGCUCAUCGUUGAUAGUUUAGAGCAGCUGGCAAGUAGGAGAAUUACCGUAAACCAAGGAGAUAGGCCUAUUGGAAGUUUUCAGUUCCUCAGUGACCUGAGAAAGCUUAUCUGGGUUACUUAGAUCUAGGUAAAAGGCCAAAGCAAGAAUACACUUCAGAAGGACGCUAAGAUACCUGUCAGUUCAAAUUCUUAGGUUGUAGUUUGGAGUUUUACUCAAAUGAGAAGAUUCUAAAACACAGUUUCAUGUUUUAAAAAAAAGAUUUUAAUUUAUUUGAGUACACUGUCACUGUCUUCAGACACACCAGAAGAGGGCAUCAGAUCCCAUUUACAGAUGGAUGUGAGCCACCAUGUGAUUACUAGGGACUGAACUCAGGACCUCUGGAAGAGCAGUCAGUGCUCUCCGAUCCCCAUGGCUUCACUUUUUUUUUUUAAAUGGAAUUUUUAAAAAUUGAGAACACUGGAAGAGGUCAAAAGGGCAGGGCUGCAGGUAGAGUCAAUUGGUCUCAGGGCCAAGGGGACAGGAUGGCUUCUUUUUUUGUAGCCCUUGGGUAUGUAGUUCACACCACGGGAAGGAAGGUGUCCAGGUUAUCUGUUAUACAAUCCUCAGACGUUAGCACGAGUUAUACUGUGAAUAUAACUUCCAGUCCUGGUUCAAGGCUAGGCUCACAGUGGGGCUGGGUGGCACGCAGCUCUGUGGAGCUAUUCCAGCUAGUCCUCUAUGAUUUCCAGGGCACUUUAGGGAUUUGUAGAGACAGACUAACCCAGAAUAUGUGUUGACAAGCCUUCGAGAUGGUAGAGAAAGACAGUUGCCACCAAGUCUCAGAACCCGAGUUUGGUCCUCAGGUUCCACAUGAGGGAUAGAGAACAAGGACUCUUGAUUCCUUACAAGUUGCUCUCUGGUAAGAUAUCUGUUUCACUGUGGGUAAACACACAUAAACCAUAGCCCAAAUUGGAAGACAGAUAACUGGUUGACCUCACUAUUUUUGCCCAGAGUGAGCAGUGAUUAAAGUCCAGUCUAGAGAACUGGUACAUCUUAUUUCUUGACAGGAGACGGGAGGGGAGAUAGGAGAGAGGACCAGUUUCAUUGUUUUUGUAAAGAUUUCAACUAUGUAACGAAUUCUAUUCAGGUAAAAAACAUCAGUUGGUUUUUACCUGGUUGUGGUGAAAUCAACAGUUCCCUGCACACAUUUUUGUAAGCCAAGAGUGAUCCAAACAUGGGAGCGAUGUCAUGCACACUGUAUUCAGGGAUUGUCUUGUGGGUAUGGAAAGUAAAUUUGGUCAGCAAGUCUAGGACAAAAAUAUGAGAUCUCGGUACUAAUGAGAAGUGUUUAAACUUUAUCCACUUGGCAGUGUGACGAAAGGCUUUUAACAAGUGAGUGAAACAGGUCAUUAGGAAAAUUAAUUUGGCUUUAAUUGGUAAAAAAAUUGCAAGUUUAGUAGUAGACAUGGACCCGAUAGGAGGCUCUUAUUUACCAUUAUUCAUGGAAUGGUGGGAGUUUCUCAAUGCCACAGUAGAAUGGAAAGAUGGGUCCACGUGACCAAACACUACAGAGGAAAAAUCAUCUUGCGGUAUCAGCAUGAGAAGGAUGAGAGAGAAAAGAUCAUUCGAAGGAAGGUGUCACUGGAGUUGAUGUCUGGCUGAGUUGGAGAAUUGAAAAUCAAAUGGCAAAAGAGAAAGUCAGAUUUUCUGGGAACGUAGGAAAAGUGGCCUUAGGAAUAACUUAAGGUCUUUGAAGAGCUGUUCACUUUUAAACAUACAUGCAGGUACCUGGGGGAGGGGUGCAGAGACAUCUGCACAGACCUUCCAUUGUUGGGCAUGUGUGUUUAUGUUUGUGCACUUGGAUACAUCUUAAAACUCUAAACCAGACAGUUUUCUCUGACAUCAAGCAUCAGUGGGAUUGAACUCUUUUGAAACUUUACGUAUCACUCAUGAGCUAUUAAAUACGAUUUAAAAAGAAAGAUCCAAGAAUAGCUCUAAAACGGGUCUGAAUUAAGAAUCAAUGGGUCCUGAUGUUACAUACUGAGACUUAACCUGCUCUCCACUACUAUGCCUUCAUUUGGUAAUGUUCUGAAAGAAGGUGGCGUGGAUAGGAGGAAGAAAGACACAGUCUAUUAUUUUUCCUGUUAUUGGACUAAAUUGACAGUAGAUAGGCAGAGGCAGGGGAUUACAGAAACCUAUUACAAAAGUGUAGUUGUCAAGAUACACACUUAAAGACCCCACAUGGGUUAAUAUUUUAUUUUCCCUGUAAGGAAAAGUUUAGGCUGUCUUCUGGCUAGCCUAGCCUAGUCUUUUUCACUGCUACAACUGGAGUUUGCAACAACAACCACAGUUGAUAGGGGUGGGGACACAUUUGGGGGAGUUUCCAGACACUUUAGGGGCUUUCUGAACCAUUAGGGUGUUGGUGGCACAAACAUUUAAAUCGAGGAUUCUGCAGUACACCCACCACAGUAGAUCUCCUCUUAGGUGAACAGAACAGAAUAGACCAUUUAUGCUUGGAUGGGAGAUUUGGAGCAAUAUUUAUGCUUUUAAUUAUAACACCUUAUAACCUAUACAUCUUUGUGUGGCUCACAAAAGUUCUCACAUACAAAAUCCCAUUCCAGCUUAAACUCUGCGGGCUAAAUAAACAGGCAUUGCUGCUCCCCGUCCCACUGCUCAGUGUAAAGGAAUGUGAGGUCAUUAAAAAUGUUCCACAUGUUUUCCUCCUCCUAACUUUUAACCCUUCGCUAGUCUCCUGAAAGACGUUUGCCUCUUAAAACCUUUGGUAUGGUCGAGCCGUUUUUAACACCUUCACCAAGAGAUGGUUUGGUUGUCUGGAAGACCGGUUCCCGAAAUCUCUGAGGGGGAGUCACGGUGUAAAAUGGCGGUGUGGCUCAUUCACGUGUCUAGUGUUUUCACUGAAUCAUUUCAUUUUGUUCAUCUGGAGGUGAAACCGCUCAGCCACCGCCGCCCUCCUGUUCUCCCCUGGCUGAUUUAGCUUUGGUGUUCUCCUUCUGCGAAAUACAACCUCCAUGGGCUCUCAGGGCUGGACAAGGAGGUCAGGGAAAUAGAUACACAGCCGGCAUGCUGUAACAUUCUCAGGUCAGCGAUGAGCAAAAUGGAGGGGAAGAGUGGGAGUUCUCUCUGGUUGGAGGUGAAGAUGGGGGAGCCCCUUGUGAAAUGUUUUUUUUUGGGGGGGAGCAGAUGCCGUGUUUAGCCUAUACAACCAGAUCAUGGUUUAAAGAUUAGAAUAAUGUUCUACACAAAUGCUGACAAUAGAAAGCCUACUCGUUCUCUUUAAGGUUGGGACUAUGGACACGCUGCCAUGGGCCACCGGAGAGAGGAUGGCCAGGGGCCACUGUGGCCCUGGCAGCACCACUGCAAGUGUGUAAUACCUCUGGGUUUCAUCCUUUUUGUUCGUUUGUUCUGUUUUCCUUUUUUUUUUUCAAUUUUUAAGAAUUUUUGCAUUUCAUUUUGUGUUUGGAUUCAUUUUGUGAGUUUGUUUGGAUGUGAGUCAGAAUUUUUUAAGAUUGAAGACAUAGACACCAUUUCUCAUGUUCAAAUGAACACUAAUUAAAUCUUUGAGUCCUAUGAACUCUCUGGGGAGAUGACCCUGUGGCUAUACUGCGUAGGGGGAAGAAGCCCUCUGGGUUGCAAGGGCUGACUUAGCAUCAGACUGAGGCCCCUCAGUACAGUUUUGACUCUGACACUCACAGCUGUAUCAUCUUGGGCAUGUCAAACUUUUCAGUCCUCCAGUUCUCCAUGUAUAAGAUACAGAAGAGAUAAAAGAUGUCCAGGGGUGCAAACAAAGAAACCUAUCUACCAUACAUGAUGUUUUAGAAUAAAGCUAAACUUCUUCAUUCUGUGGUGGGGUGAACCAUGAGGGGCAUGCCAUGGGACCGUUGUGUGUGCUGGUCUUAAAGUCCCACACAGGGCUUUGCUACUUCGACUUGAACCUGUGGCCGCCUGUCAUAAACUCGAAGUUCCUUUGUGCUGCUGUUACCUCGUGUGUUUAAGUAACGAAACAGCUGCUGUGUUUCAAUAGACAAAGGCUUACAGUAUGUCUGAGGCCAGGCAUUUAUUGCCUGGCUUUAAACUUCUUAAACAAUUCCAUAUGGCGAACUGAGUGGCAGAACACUUAAUGUAAACUUUCAAAGGAAGCUGCCCACCGAUUCCCGAACUUUAUGAAAAGCUGGCUGAAACAUAUUCCUUUGCAGGAGGCUGGACAACCAGCCAUUCCUGCUCCAAGGGUGAAAGGCCAUGGGCUAAGAAGACAAGAGAACCCAGCGUCAGCAUUUCCUCAUUCUGAAGGAAUACCAGUUUAUAGAAUAGGUGGAAUUCAAACUUUUUUUGCUAGUUGUGAUUCUGUUACUAAUUCUCUCAUUCUAUCAAUUCAAAUCAAAUAAAAAAACAGUUUCCCUGUAUGGUAUAGGCUCAUUGAUUUAUUAGGUCUGUUCCUUUGUAUUUAACAGGAUACAUCUGGACCAAACAGAAAGGCUUGAGCAUUGAGAUGCCAUGAGAAUGCAAACAGAAGUAAAAUAAGACUCAAGACAAAUCAUCACUGUGCUAUCUGAACUCAGUUCUGCUAGAUGCAAAAGCUACAUUUCUAGCAUAGACAGCCAUCACCUCAGAAGAAUGCAGCAUGUUUGGCUUUCUCCACAGUCCUGUUAGUCUCUGCUUUACCAUCUGACCCUGGAGAUCAGGUCUGAACUGAAGUCUCCUUUCCCACGACUUGUAUGUGAGGUCUUUCUCAAGAUAACUGGCAGAACUCCUCCUCCAAGAAUAAUAUUCUGCUAGGGCCUGGGUGGAUAUCUUUCAGGAGUCCAGCUUCUCCUCCCACUCUGAGAGUCCUAGGGAUUAAAUCUCGGUUGUCAGGAUUGGUGGUAAGCACUUUUACCCUUUGGGCUACACCUCAGUGCCCCCCACCCCAAUUUUUAUAAAGUAUACUACUUUAAUAGAUGAGGGAAUGAAAAUAUUAAAUGGUAGAUAAUUUUCAUUAAAUCUUGAAGACUCCAUCAUAGAUCUCUGAGUAUGCCUGAACACCUAUUUCCCAUGUCUUUUUCUGUUCCUUCGAUGAGCCUGAGGACCAUUGGAACCAUUCAGAAAGUAAUGUCGACAUCAACCCUUUGAAGGCGGGAUAAUAGACAUUGAAAGUCUCACAGCAGUGCUAUGUACAGAGAGAUGCCAAGGCGUGGGGCUCGCUGCGUCUUUUCUCAGCUGGAGAGAACACAGGAUAACCUUCUAUAGAUCUACAUACACUUUGUUCCAGAUAACCAAGUUGUUGUUUUUAAAACAUUUAAUACAAUUAUACAGUUCACCACUACUGUAAACAACACGCAAAAAAAUAUAUAUGAUGGGACCUGUCCUCAGUGAGCCCAGCCGUCACUAUGAAAACACUGUUCCCAUGGUAAUGCACUUUCAGGUUUUUCCAGCCCCACAUUAUUGGAAAUGUUUUCACUGAAAACUUUCCCUGCUUCCAAUCAAUUGCCUUUAAGUUGCUCAGGCUCUAAAGUUAUGAGACCACGCCAUGCAAAAGCCCACAGUCCAGAAAGCCUCAGAGGGUGGUCUCCGUGUCAGUCAGCAAAUGUGACCUGUACCCGUGAAUAUUUAGUGUGUGGCAUGGAGCUGUAGAAGGUAUGACGUGGAGAAGCAGAGACCCACAUGUGAGCUCUAAGCAGGCAGGGCAUAAAGAAAAUUACAAGCCCGAGUCCAAGGGUUUGCUACAGGGGCUCAGGGCUCAGGGCACAGAGGACAGGGCGCAGGGCCUCUCUAUGGAUGGGAACUUUAGAAAACGAUCUCAGGACUCGGCUGAGGUUUAAACACGGUGACGGCAGGGGCAUGGCUAUCAUUGUCCCUCUAGGACUCUGCAGGAGCUUAGUGAGCAGUGUGGCCUUUUCAGAAGAGUCCCCAGACAGAGCCUGAGGUGGCUGGGCGUCAGCGUGGUGGGAAUGAAAGCGACCCUUCCAGUUCCUAUAACUGAGUUCUUCAUGUCGAUCCCUUCUUUGUGGACAAGAAGAACCACGGAGACCCAGCACUGCUUCAGUUAAGGAGGCGUCUUCCCUACAGCUCAAGGUGUUCCCGGAUUUGAACUGCGGUUGUGGUCAAAACACCUAGCAGCAGGAUGGCCUUGGGGCUGCAUGGAGCAUCCCCCAACACAGGAGGGAAAGUCCAGCCUAAUGUGACUGGGGUAGCACAGUGCAUCCUCACUGACAGCCUGGGCCAAGCCGUGGGUUUAGCCACUUUCCUUCCAUUCUUCUUAGACUUUUUAGUCACUUUACCUGAAUAGUCUGAUUUUUAUUCUCCAUGUAAUCAUCUAAGUAACAUCAUAAUAAAAAAUGACAGAACUGUGUGAUUAAAUAAAACCGCUAAUUAAAA